AAAUCAUGUUAGGAGGGCAUUUUCUAAUCAAUUGCUUGUACCGCUCUCAGGCUUCAUAGAGGGAUUCACCCUCUUUUGCCUGAAGAUCUGAACUUUCACCCUAAGCUU